rnacentral:lncRNA from 1 species
UCAACAUUUCCCAAGGUUUGACAACUCCGGAUUAUCUGCUGCGUUCACUGCAGGCCACAUCUUUUGGGUGAUUAUACUUCACAAAAACACCAUUUCGACAUAUUCCUGCCAUUAACACACACACAGAAUGACAACAAGUUUGACAGCCGAUUGGCUAUUGACGAGGCUGUUAUAUUCUUUAAAAGGUGGAAAAGCACAGGUUACACAAUUCAGAAAGGUUCAGCACCACACAUCUACUGAACUCAAUGCUGUUCUUGACCCAGUGUAUUGCAGUCAUGAAAAUCCUGUUGGUGGUCGUGUGUUUUAUAACAAUAAGUUCAGCCUUCCCUGUUUCUGAGGACAACCACCGCGUUGAACGUUCAGCCAGCGACGAGAUGGGCCGGUAUUAUGGUGGUGUUGGAUACAUGCAGUAUCCGCAGUACUACCCAUCGUAUAGGUACCCAUCGUAUCGCUAUCCCGUGUACCCACCACAACAACCGCCACAGAACCAGCCCGACAUAUUCACCAUGCUCCUGCCCUUCCUGCUGGCUAACCUCACACCGGCCGCUGCGACCACCGCCACUGCCACCGCCGGAGCCGCCACCCCGACCGCGGGGACCGGAGCCGGAGUUGGAUAACAUGGAUGUUUAAAAUCAGUUUGUUAUCCUCUGUAUGACUUCUUCAAUAAAUCAUGC